CUACGGGGUGCACCAGUGAGGAAUAUUGCACAAUGGGGGGAACCCUGAUGCAGCAACGCCGCGUGGAGGAUGACGCAUUUCGGUGUGUAAACUCCUUUUAUCAGAGAAGAACAUGACGGUAUCUGAUGAAUAAGCUCCGGCUAACUCCGUGCCAGCAGCCGCGGUAAUACGGAGGGAGCAAGCGUUAUUCGGAAUCACUGGGCGUAAAGGACGCGUAGGCGGGACAGUAAGUCAGGUGUGAAAUCCAAUGGCUCAACCAUUGAACUGCACUUGAAACUGCUGACCUAGAGUACUGAAGGGGCAGAUGGAAUUAGUGGUGUAGGGGUAAAAUCCGUAGAUAUCACUAGGAAUACCGAAAGCGAAGGCGAUCUGCUGGGAAGUUACUGACGCUGAGGCGUGAAAGCGUGGGGAGCAAACAGGAUUAGAUACCCUCGUAGUC
rnacentral:rRNA from 1 species